rnacentral:rRNA from 1 species
UACGUAGGUGGCAAGCGUUGUCCGGAUUUAUUGGGUUUAAAGGGUGCGUAGGCGGCCCUGUAAGUCAGUGCUGAAAUAUCCCAGCUUAACUGGGAGGGUGGCAUUGAUACUGCGGGGCUAGAGUACAGAUGAGGUAGGUCGGAAUUGACGGUGUAGCGGUGAAAUGCUUAGAUAUCGUCAAGAACACCUAUAGCGAAGGCAGCUUACUAGGCUGUAACUGACGCUGAGGCACGAAAGUGUGGGGAUCAAACAGG